CAUCAUCAUCUUCAUCUGGACUCUCACAGCGUUUGCUCAAGAGUGUAGAGGACAGAUCACCGUCACUCAGAGUCCCUCAAUGACAACAGCUCAACCAGGACAAACUGUGAACAUCAACUGUAAAACCAGGAGUGAUGUGCAGAGAUGGAAUAAUGGGAAUGAAGGUUUAGCCUGGCACUUGCAGAAACCUGGAGAAGCUCCUAAACUCCUGAUUUAUUAUGCAAAAAUACUCCACACAGGAACUCCAUCUAGAUUCAGUGGCAGUGGAUCUAACAGUGAUUUCACUCUGACCAUCAGUGAAGUCCAGAUUGAAGAUGCUGGACAUUAUUACUGUCUGAGUCUUCAUUGCAGAAAAGGUUCUGAUGGUGGUUGUGUGGGUGAUGUAACAUUCACACAGUGAUAAAGA